AACGAACGCUGGCGGCAUGCCUAACACAUGCAAGUCGAACGAGACCUUCGGGUCUAGUGGCGCACGGGUGCGUAACGCGUUGGAACCUGCCCUUAGGUUCGGAAUAACUCCCCGAAAGGGGUGCUAAUACCGGAUAAUGUCUUCGGACCAAAGAUUUAUCGCCUUUGGAUGGGCCCGCGUUGGAUUAGCUAGUUGGUAGGGUAAAAGCCUACCAAGGCGACGAUCCAUAGCUGGUCUGAGAGGAUGAUCAGCCACACUGGGACUGAGACACGGCCCAGACUCCUACGGGAGGCAGCAGUAGGGAAUAUUGGACGAUGGGCGAAAGCCUGAUCCAGCAAUGCCGCGUGAGUGAUGAAGGCCUUAGGGUUGUAAAGCUCUUUUACCCGGGAUGAUAAUGACAGUACCGGGAUAAUAAGCUCCGGCUAACUCCGUG
rnacentral:rRNA from 1 species